GCUAAGUGCGAUGCCCCGAUGCUAAUUCUACCGUCACCCGUAACCUUUCUUCCCAGCGGUGGAUUCACUCAACCCUUGUCACAUGACGGGACCCACUACCAAAUUUUUUAUCCCACCAGCGGAUCCUCCCAUUCUCGGUCUCCUAGAUCUAGAGUGGCAGAGCCCAUCAUCUUUCCAUUUCACUUUUCCUGGAGACGGUCGCCCGAGCCUGCGGGAUGCAGCAGAGCAGCAGGAGAGCUCCCUGGCGACGACGGCGCGCUCGCCCGCGGCAGCGGCAGCGCGCUUCUCAGGAGGAGUGGCGGCGACCCUCCUCCGGGCGAGCUCGGCGACGGCGGCGACUCGCUCCUCGAGGGAGCAGCGGUGGGCGGCUCGCUCCUCAGGGUGGAGCAACGGCAACCCCCAGCUUUCUUUACGCUUUGGGUGGACAGAAGAUUGACCCAGUAUGCAGUAGUGCGAUUUGGGCGAGGAACAACUCUAUGAGAACACAGGGCAGCAGCCUAGCAAACCAGUCGGUCAAUGCUUGCAUCCUGCAGUGUAGCCACGGAAGUGGUCCUCACCACUGAACAGCAACAUUCAGCAAAACAAGAUGCCUAGGCGAUAGAUAAAUGAUCCUUGAAGGAAUAUUGGUUCAGAGUCUACACAAAAACAGUAGGCAUGAUACUAAUAGUGUGGACUUUACCAAGUUACAGCACAUGCCUCACCAGGGUUUGCUCUUUGUAGAAGGUUCCAGUUCUGUGUCCCAGCAGGUUUCCUAUAUACUCAUUAAGCAUUUAUUUUUCUUCAGUUAAGUUUUGCGAAAAAAAAGCUUCAGGCAAGGCUAUUCAGGAGAGAAGCAGGGUUGAGGAGAUUCGAGUGCUGUUCAAGUUUAGCUGCUACUUGGGCGCUAUAGAAUGUCAAUGGAUUGAACCAAUUCUAAUCGCGAACCCGGAGAAUGGAAGUGCAAAUGCUAGGAGACCAUGUGCAACAAAUGCUUUAUGAAAGCAACUGGAGACUCCAGGAACUUUAUAAUCCAAUUUCUCAGUUACCAAUAAAAUAUUUUAGUGUAGCUACUAGGGGGAAAACAUAGUUGUUAGCUUUAUUACCAUUGUAAACAAAUCUACCUAUGUAUUUAGAUUCGUACUAGAAGACUAAAUGAUACUUCUCUGUAGAUCACAUGUGGCAUUAUAAAUAUAUGAUUUCUAUAUUUACUCAUGUUGAGAAAAAGAAAAAAAA